rnacentral:lncRNA from 12 species
AAUAACAAUAGAUCGAUAUCUGCACUUGAGUUCCACCCUCCCCGGGACCACACUGCUCCAAACAACAGUUUUUAGAGAGCUGCAACACAAAAGAUACCGCAGUCAGCUCAAGCAAGGGGUUAUUUUUAGAUCAGAAAAAAAAAAAAAAAAAAAAGAGGAAAGGAGGGGAGGGGGGAAAAAAAAGCAGUUCUGGGUUUUGCAAUCUAAUUUGGUCCCUUUUCUUAAGGGGAAAAAAAAUCCCAUCAAUGGCAUUUUCCAUACAAUCUGAUUCCUAUUUGGCUCCUAGAAAAAGAAGCAGAGAUCUAGGGCUGAAAAUUCUGGAGUUUUAUGGCUGAUUCCAGCUAGUAGCCUUUCUUCACCAGGCUCCAACUGAAUUAAUUUGAUACUAUUUUUGAAAGUCAGUGUUUCUAAGGGAGACCUAAUGACGCACUGACGUCAAUGCAGGUCAAUAGCACACACUGCUGGAACUGGGCGUGCUACACCGAGCCAGAGCUGGAGCCUUUUCAAAUAGCCCCAACUCUGCAAAUAUCCCAGUUUUGCAGGGGUGGGGGGGCGAGAGUAGGGGGGAAGCCAGGGUUUGAGUAGCACGGAGACCCCCAACACUGCCCCCACCCAACGCCUUCGGAAUUGAUGCAUGUUUUCCUGAUGCAAAAAAAGAAAGAAGAAAAUCCACACAGAUACAAUCAGACGCACUGCAGUGCCAAAAAAAAAAAAAAUCAUACCUGUCAAAGGGACUGUAUGUGAUCCGUGCACACACACAUUUACGUUCAGAAUGCAAUGCAUAUUAUUAGGGUCUGUCUAUAAAUAGAUCCCGGGAGCGUGUGCAUGGGGACUCGGUCCCCAAGCCCGGUUUUUGAACGUGGGCGAUGAGUUCUUUGCUCUGAUCAGUUACUCGGGAGGUGCCUGGAGGUGUGGGGGUGGGCACGUGGGCGGGGGGCUGCCUCCUUCUCCUUCCCUCCGGCUCCCCCUCCUUUCCCCUCUUUUCCUCUCUCCCCCUCCCUCCUCGCUCACCUCCCCUCUCCUCGCCCUCCAUCCCUCUCUCAUUUCCUCCUCCUCUUCUUCUCCCUCCUUCAGCCUUCCCCACCCUUUCUUUCUUUCUCUCCCCCUCCCUCUCUCCUCUCCUUUUCUCCCCCUCCCUGCCUCCCCCUCCCUCUCCCUUCUCCCUCUCCCUCCAAGUCUGGCACUGAACGCGAACUGUUUUGCUUUGCUCCGGGAAGAGUGCAGACACAGAACGUGAAAUCCCGAGCUUUUUGCGUGGUGCAUUUAAAAUGCUUCCUUAUUUAUAUUACCCUCAUUCCCCCACCCCACCCACCCCCUCACCAGUCCUUCCAAAUUUCCCUAGAAAUCUAUGUAGAGCGCGCGGAGGGGAACAUUUGCACAAAAAGUGAAGGAGCUCGCCAAGGUAGUCAGACCUGUCCCGACAGCCAGCCGGAGGUCUACACGAGGGGUGGCCACGGUAGGAGGGAGUCCCAGAGGCCUCAUGGACUGGCGAGUCUGAACGAAUGAGCGCCCGAGUCCCAGGGGAAGGGGACUUCAGUGACCGCGGUAGCGACCAGAAGGUGACGCAGGGAGACGGAGACGUAGAUGCUGCUCCUCGGCGCGCCCAAGGCUCAGGCCCGGCCCAGUAGGGUCUGACCUGGGCAAGCCGGGGGCGGGGGGACGGCGCAGCCGCAGGGCCCGGUUUCUACUCCAGCAGGAUGGCAGCAGGUUGCUGCGGCUGAGGCUAACUAGAGAAAAAUUCGUCUACAUACAAACUGGUCCUGUUCGGUUUUUCCAUUUCCUCAUCUGUAAAAGGGGAUAGUGCUGGCAACCCUGAGGUUCUGGUGAAGAUGAAAGGAGAUCAUGCAUGGAAAGUGCUUCGUAGCUGCUCAGUGCUCAAUAAAUGGUCGUUGUUCUUGCUGCUACUGUUGUUA